UGGCGGACGGGUGAGUAAUGUCUGGGAAACUGCCUGAUGGAGGGGGAUAACUACUGGAAACGGUAGCUAAUACCGCAUAACGUCGCAAGACCAAAGAGGGGGACCUUCGGGCCUCUUGCCAUCGGAUGUGCCCAGAUGGGAUUAGCUAGUAGGUGGGGUAACGGCUCACCUAGGCGACGAUCCCUAGCUGGUCUGAGAGGAUGACCAGCCACACUGGAACUGAGACACGGUCCAGACUCCUACGGGGGGCAGCAUG
rnacentral:rRNA from 1 species